rnacentral:lncRNA from 1 species
GAGACACCAGCAGGAUGCUGGAGCUGCAGGAAGGAGAGCGAGGUCAAGGUGUUUCUUCCCUGCUCUCCCGCUUUGGACAGCAGUUCUGGUAUGACCAUUACUCUAUACCUGCAGCUACUAACAGCUGGGCCCUCUUCUAGGGUUCUGGCUCUCACUGGGUUCUGGUAACAUCUUUCCUCCCACCCUUGCCCUUUCAGGCUAAGUAAGGGUGGCAACAGCCCCUGCUAUACAAAUAUUUGGGUGCCUUGACAUCUCUUGUUGGCUUCCUUAAAUUUGCAUUUAAUCCCAUCAUUAAAUUCUUUUCAAAACCCCAGCUUGGUUGCCUUGCAUUUCCUGCUGGAGCCUCAUCAAUGAGAAGUUCUCUCUGAAGGUAGGGGUGAGAUUUGGCCAUAGGUAUGGGGGACUCUUCCUAUUAUGUCACCCAAGGUUUCUGUCCUUACCCUUUUCUGGUGUACGGUUUGAUUAGGGGACUUUACCACAUCACUUCCAGGGAUGGGAAUGAAGGUCAUCUGCCAAUGAGGGCACACUGGUGUGGGCUUGAGGCAAUGGGGGUGGGGGCUGAAAUGAGAAUGUGUGAACAGUGCCUUGGGGAACCCACAGACUGGCUGGGGAUAUAAGACAUCACAUACCAUCAAAACAAUAUAACUAAUGAUCGUGAAAAAAUGAUAUCCUUAUUUAUUGAGCACAUAAUAUGUGUUAGGCACAGUGGCAUAUAGUAGACUGUAUGUAAAUUGUUCCUAAUUCUCACAAUACCUUGCAAUGUUAGUAUUAUGAGCUCUACUUUACAAACAAAGAAGCCUGAUACCGAGGGUACCAAGUGACUUGCCAGAUACUACUGGAGCUGGAUUUAAAACCAAGCUUUUUGGCCUCUAAACCAUGAUUAUUCUUGCAGCUGUAUCAUAUCUACUCAUGACAUAGAAAAUAAUACAGGUUAAUGUAUGUGAAGCAGGGUGCCAGUGGGAUGCAGCUCAAACUCUGUGUGCAAUAGAAGGUCAUACCCAGGAAGAGCAAUGUGCAACAUGAGAGAUUUCAUUAGACAGCAAGAUUUGAUCUGCUCCUUGAAGGAAAGAAAUGAGGACAUGUGGAGAAAGAGAAGAGCGAUGAGGGCACAAAUGCCAGUGCUCUGUCCAGAAGUAAUGACUCUCUGACUUAAGGAACUGAGGAAGUGGCUUCCCAGGCCUUGUGACUCUCCCUAUCUUUCUUUACGUUGCCUUUAGUGCUGAGAAUUAUCACCCCUCUCAUCACUUCCUAUUCACCUAAGUCCUUGCAGCCUUCCCUUACCAAUUCUUGGAAAUACAGGUGAAUUCUCCAUGGCUUCCAGGUAGAAGUCAUAGGACUUUUUCAGUUCUUAUCUUGCUUUCUGCAAUAAAUGAGCAUAAACCUCCUCCUAUAGGAUCUUAGUAAACAUCUUUCCUCUUGUGAUCUCUAGGACACCACUUUCUCUGUAGUCUCCUUCUUUCUCUGUGCCCAUUCACCACAUCCUUCUUUCUGUCUCUGUUCUUCUCCUUUCCUGUCUCAACUCCUAAUCCCAGUCUGGCUAUCAUUCCCCAUCAUGGAGCAAGCUCUGCCAUCAACAUGAUGCAGUGGUUAGAAGUGUGAGCUCUAGACCUUGUUGACCUGGGUUUGAGCUUUUGAAUCUUCCAUUUGCCACUUCUUAAUUGGGCAACUUAUCAUACCUUGCUGUGCCUCCACAUUGGGACAGAACCUAGCACACAGCUAGCACUUGAUAAACAUCAACUGUUAUCCAUUCAAUUGUCCAAGCAAGAAACCUAGAUGUCACCCCGGACUGCUCCUUCCUCCUCAUCCCACCUCUAAUCCAGCACCAAGGAUCCUAAUCUUCUGAUUGCCUCUCAGAGCUGCCUAGUUUUGGUUUUCUUCAGAUCUGCCCAUCUCAGAGCCUCAUGUGGGGUUUGAGUCUUAACUGUUCUAUUUGUUUUCAGCUUUCCUUGCCUUGAUCCAAUUUUUACUUUGAAGCCAAAGUAAUCUUUCUAAGAAACAAGUAUGACCUCACCCAUGCUUAAAAUCCUACUGGGAUUGCUACUGCCUUCAGGAUGGAGUCCAAAUGCCUUGGAAUGUAAUGGAGGGCCCAUAUGCUUCCUUCUCCCUUCCAGUCAUACUUCCCAUCUCCUGCAAGCUUCCCAACAUCCAUUCCAUGACCUAGCCAUACAAUUUCCUAAAGCUGAUCAUUAAACAUGGAUCCAUUCCUGCCGGAUGAGACUCACUGGCACUGAGUGCCCCAGGAACCUGCAUGUCUAACAAGUGCUGUACAAAGUCAGCCAGUUUUCACUAUGCUGAUAGUCCUUGGUUCUCUCUCUCCUCUUCUCCCUGCUUCCUUUUGGCCUCACACACUGAGCAGGGCCAGGUUUUAUUCUAGUAAACUUGGGUAACAAUAGAUAUGAUUGUCAGCCUCCCUGGGGCUGGCCAGGUUUUUAUGAAAUUAGACAUAUUUGUCUUGAUGUUUAGGAGCAAGCAUGAAAUUCAAAUCUGUGUGUUGGCAUUCCGCGGGCUGGGCCUUUAAUAUUCAAUGACAUAACUUCAUUGCGGGUUUGACAACACUAUAUAGAAGUUGUGCUUACCACUGAAAAUUAAAGCUACUGAAAGCGUUGACAGCAGCAAAAUUGUGAAUGCUUCCCAGCUCCCGAAGUGAUUGCUAUUCCAGUUUGUCUAGAAGUGCUUAUUGUGUUUGUAAUACCGUCAGUUCCACUUAAAGACGACUUGAAGUCGAUGCCAUACAGGUAAGUACCAAAGAAAUCUCUUCCUUCCUCUCUCCACUUCUCUAUCGCCUCCCACACGAUUUUUCUACUCAGGGUCUAUUUGCCUUUAGUUAUAGAGCCCCUGAUUCCCUCAAAUUCUGAGCCAAUUGAUUAUAUUCCUCUUUCAAGUUGCCAGGUUAGCUAGACUUUCAUUUUUUCUCCUGUUCAUUUUCCUUUUCUUUUUUUCCCCCCUUUUCUCCCACAUGAUUUUCAAGGAAAUUGAGUUAUAGUGACUUACUCCACAAAUCCCUUGGGUGUGUGAAUGACAUUUUCUUGUGUGUAAAGGAAAUGUUGUGUGGGGUGGUGAGGAGGAUUUGGCAUCUGAGGAAGGAUUAUUUGAAAUUAAUGCUAAGAAUAAGGAGAGACAACUGUAUUAACUGACUUCAUGUCAAAAAGGGUAAAAAGAAAACUUAAAAAUAAUUAUUUAAUAAUGGCCUGCUUUGCUAUUGGUGGUAGCAUUAAAGCAGACAUUUUGACAGACAAUGCUGGCAAGCCAGCCUCCUUCUUAGGUUGGUUUCUUGGUUUGGUCUUUG